GUUAAGCGACUAAGCGUACACGGUGGAUGCCCUGGCAGUCAGAGGCGAUGAAGGACGUGCUAAUCUGCGAUAAGCGUCGGUGAGGUGAUAUGAACCGUUAUAACCGGCGAUUUCCGAAUGGGGAAACCCAGUGUGUUUCGACACACUAUCAUUAACUGAAUCCAUAGGUUAAUGAGGCGAACCGGGGGAACUGAAACAUCUAAGUACCCCGAGGAAAAGAAAUCAACCGAGAUUCCCCCAGUAGCGGCGAGCGAACGGGGAGGAGCCCAGAGCCUGAAUCAGUGUGUGUGUUAGUGGAAGCGUCUGGAAAGGCGCGCGAUACAGGGUGACAGCCCCGUACACAAAAAUGCACAUAUUGUGAGCUCGAUGAGUAGGGCGGGACACGUGGUAUCCUGUCUGAAUAUGGGGGGACCAUCCUCCAAGGCUAAAUACUCCUGACUGACCGAUAGUGAACCAGUACCGUGAGGGAAAGGCGAAAAGAACCCCGGCGAGGGGAGUGAAAAAGAACCUGAAACCGUGUACGUACAAGCAGUGGGAGCCUCUUAAUGGGGUGACUGCGUACCUUUUGUAUAAUGGGUCAGCGACUUAUAUUCUGUAGCAAGGUUAACCGAAUAGGGGAGCCGAAGGGAAACCGAGUCUUAACUGGGCGUUAAGUUGCAGGGUAUAGACCCGAAACCCGGUGAUCUAGCCAUGGGCAGGUUGAAGGUUGGGUAACACUAACUGGAGGACCGAACCGACUAAUGUUGAAAAAUUAGCGGAUGACUUGUGGCUGGGGGUGAAAGGCCAAUCAAACCGGGAGAUAGCUGGUUCUCCCCGAAAGCUAUUUAGGUAGCGCCUCGUGAAUUCAUCUCCGGGGGUAGAGCACUGUUUCGGCAAGGGGGUCAUCCCGACUUACCAACCCGAUGCAAACUGCGAAUACCGGAGAAUGUUAUCACGGGAGACACACGGCGGGUGCUAACGUCCGUCGUGAAGAGGGAAACAACCCAGACCGCCAGCUAAGGUCCCAAAGUCAUGGUUAAGUGGGAAACGAUGUGGGAAGGCCCAGACAGCCAGGAUGUUGGCUUAGAAGCAGCCAUCAUUUAAAGAAAGCGUAAUAGCUCACUGGUCGAGUCGGCCUGCGCGGAAGAUGUAACGGGGCUAAACCAUGCACCGAAGCUGCGGCAGCGACGCUUAUGCGUUGUUGGGUAGGGGAGCGUUCUGUAAGCCUGUGAAGGUGGCCUGUGAGGGUUGCUGGAGGUAUCAGAAGUGCGAAUGCUGACAUAAGUAACGAUAAAGCGGGUGAAAAGCCCGCUCGCCGGAAGACCAAGGGUUCCUGUCCAACGUUA
rnacentral:rRNA from 1 species